UCUGAUAUGAUCUUCGUGUGCGUAUAGGAGCUAGCACGUCUUGCUAGAGGCCGCUACCAACUAUUGGGCUGAGUAGGAGUACUCGGGCCAUGUCUAUACGUAUCACAACCCAUAGGAUCACACACUUAAGGGGCUGGAAGCCCAAUUCAGAUGUGAUCCGAGUAGGAUCAGGUUUAGAAGUACUUAUUGGCCUCGGACCUAGAGGCCCAUCAGGAACCUCUAUAAAUAGAGGGGUGGGG
rnacentral:lncRNA from 1 species